GCAUAUCAAUAAGCGGAGGAAAAGAAACCAACAGGGAUUGCCUCAGUAACGGCGAGUGAAGCGGCAACAGCUCAAAUUUGAAAUCUGGUCCCCUCUGGGGGCCCGAGUUGUAAUUUGAAGAGGAUGCUUUUGGCGAGGCGCCGUCCGAGUUCCCUGGAACGGGACGCCGCAGAGGGUGAGAGCCCCGUACGGUCGGACGCCGAGCCUCUGUAAAGCUCCUUCGACGAGUCGAGUAGUUUGGGAAUGCUGCUCAAAAUGGGAGGUAAACCCCUUCUAAAGCUAAAUACCGGCCAGAGACCGAUAGCGCACAAGUAGAGUGAUCGAAAGAUGAAAAGCACUUUGAAAAGAGAGUUAAAAAGCACGUGAAAUUGUUAAAAGGGAAGCGCUUGCGACCAGACUUGCGCCCGUCGGAUCAACCGUCGCUUGCGGCGGCGCACUCCGGCGGGCUCAGGCCAGCAUCAGUUCGCUCGGGGGGAGAAAGGCGGCGGGAAUGUAGCUCCUCGGAGUGUUAUAGCCCGCCGUGUAAUACCCUCGGGUGGACUGAGGACCGCGCGUAUGCAAGGAUGCUGGCGUAAUGGUCGUCAGCGACCCGUCUUGAAACACGGACCAAGGAGUCGUCCUAAUAUGCGAGUGUACGGGUGUCAAACCCCUGCGCGUAAUGAAAGUGAACGGAGGUGAGAGCUUCGGCGCAUCAUCGACCGAUCCUGAUGUUAUCGGAUGGAUUUGAGUAAGAGCAUAUUGGGCCGGACCCGAAAGAAGGUGAACUAUGCCUGUGUAGGGUAAAGCCAGAGGAAACUCUGGUGGAGGCUCGCAGCGGUUCUGACGUGCAAAUCGAUCGUCAAACAUGGGCAUGGGGGCGAAAGACUAAUCGAACCUUCUAGUAGCUGGUUUCCGCGA
rnacentral:rRNA from 1 species